rnacentral:rRNA from 1 species
CCUACGGGCGGCAGCAGUGGGGAAUAUUGGGCAAUGGGCGCAAGCCUGACCCAGCAACGCCGCGUGCAGGAAGACGGCUUUCGGGUUGUUAACUUCUUUUUAGAGGGAAGAGCAGAAGACGGUACCUCUUGAAUAAGCCACGGCUAACUACGUGCCAGCAGCCGCGGUAAUACGUAGGUGGCAGGCGUUGUCCGGAUUUACUGGGUGUAAAGGGCGUGCAGCCGGGAAGACAAGUCAGAUGUGAAAUCCCGCGGCUCAACCGCGGAACUGCAUUUGAAACUGUUUUUCUUGAGUACCGGAGAGGUCAUCGGAAUUCCUUGUGUAGCGGUGAAAUGCGUAGAUAUAAGGAAGAACACCAGUGGCGAAGGCGGAUGACUGGACGGCAACUGACGGUGAGGCGCGAAAGCGUGGGGAGCGAACAGGAUUAGAUACCCCAGUAGUC